CUGGGAGUUGUAGUCCCGCCCGGCCGCGGAGAGCCCGCCCCCCGACUCAAAACAUAUGUGCCGGCUCCGCCCCGGCCCUCUCUCCCUGCAGUCCCUGGGCGCCAGGACGUAGGGAGAACAGCUGAGAAUCCCGAGCACACGCCCAAGCUGGGGCAAAAUUGAGCAAAGGCUCGGCGCCACACCUAGAAGAGUGCUAAAUGGGCGGUUUCAGGCAGCGAGGCGAGGCAGGGGGUUCAUUGGGCACAAGUACAUACCAGAUCGGAAUCUAGACAUGGAGAUUAUCUCUGAUUGUAUUCACAGAGCUCAGCAAAUGAUGGAGUCUCAAUAAAUGUGUUUUGUUUGUU